rnacentral:rRNA from 1 species
GGUUAAGCGACUAAGCGUACACGGUGGAUGCCCUGGCAGUCAGAGGCGAUGAAGGACGUGCUAAUCUGCGAAAAGCGUCGGUAAGGUGAUAUGAACCGUUACAGCCGGCGAUGUCCGAAUGGGGAAACCCAGUGCAAUUCGUUGCACUAUCGUUAACUGAAUACAUAGGUUAACGAGGCGAACCGGGGGAACUGAAACAUCUAAGUACCCCGAGGAAAAGAAAUCAACCGAGAUUCCCCCAGUAGCGGCGAGCGAACGGGGAGCAGCCCAGAGUCUGAAUCAGCUUGUGUGUUAGUGGAACGGUCUGGAAAGUCCGACGGUACAGGGUGAUAGUCCCGUACACCAAAAUGCACAGGCUGUGAACUCGAAGAGUAGGGCGGGACACGUGGUAUCCUGUCUGAAUAUGGGGGGACCAUCCUCCAAGGCUAAAUACUCCUGACUGACCGAUAGUGAACCAGUACCGUGAGGGAAAGGCGAAAAGAACCCCGGCGAGGGGAGUGAAAAAGAACCUGAAACCGUGUACGUACAAGCAGUGGGAGCACCUUCGGGUGUGACUGCGUACCUUUUGUAUAAUGGGUCAGCGACUUAUAUUCUGUAGCAAGGUUAACCGUAUAGGGGAGCCGCAGGGAAACCGAGUCUUAACUGGGCGUUAAGUUGCAGGGUAUAGACCCGAAACCCGGUGAUCUAGCCAUGGGCAGGUUGAAGGUUGGGUAACACUAACUGGAGGACCGAACCGACUAAUGUUGAAAAAUUAGCGGAUGACUUGUGGCUGGGGGUGAAAGGCCAAUCAAACCGGGAGAUAGCUGGUUCUCCCCGAAAGCUAUUUAGGUAGCGCCUCGUGAACUCAUCUUCGGGGGUAGAGCACUGUUUCGGCUAGGGGGUCAUCCCGACUUACCAACCCGAUGCAAACUACGAAUACCGAAGAAUGUUAUCACGGGAGACACACGGCGGGUGCUAACGUCCGUCGUGAAGAGGGAAACAACCCAGACCGCCAGCUAAGGUCCCAAAGUCAUGGUUAAGUGGGAAACGAUGUGGGAAGGCACAGACAGCCAGGAUGUUGGCUUAGAAGCAGCCAUCAUUUAAAGAAAGCGUAAUAGCUCACUGGUCGAGUCGGCCUGCGCGGAAGAUGUAACGGGGCUAAACCAUGCACCGAAGCUGCGGCAGCGACACUAUGUGUUGUUGGGUAGGGGAGCGUUCUGUAAGCCUGCGAAGGUGUGCUGUGAGGCAUGCUGGAGGUAUCAGAAGUGCGAAUGCUGACAUAAGUAACGAUAAAGCGGGUGAAAAGCCCGCUCGCCGGAAGACCAAGGGUUCCUGUCCAACGUUAAUCGGGGCAGGGUGAGUCGACCCCUAAGGCGAGGCCGAAAGGCGUAGUCGAUGGGAAACAGGUUAAUAUUCCUGUACUUGGUGUUACUGCGAAGGGGGGACGGAGAAGGCUAUGUUAGCCGGGCGACGGUUGUCCCGGUUUAAGCAUGUAGGCUGAUUGUCCAGGCAAAUCCGGAUAAUCAAGGCUGAGGUGUGAUGACGAGGCACUACGGUGCUGAAGUAACAAAUGCCCUGCUUCCAGGAAAAGCCUCUAAGCAUCAGGUAACAUUAAAUCGUACCCCAAACCGACACAGGUGGUCAGGUAGAGAAUACCAAGGCGCUUGAGAGAACUCGGGUGAAGGAACUAGGCAAAAUGGUGCCGUAACUUCGGGAGAAGGCACGCUGGUGUGUAGGUGAAGCCCCUGCGGGUGGAGCUGAGACCAGUCGAAGAUACCAGCUGGCUGCAACUGUUUAUUAAAAACACAGCACUGUGCAAACACGAAAGUGGACGUAUACGGUGUGACGCCUGCCCGGUGCCGGAAGGUUAAUUGAUGGGGUUAUCCGUAAGGAGAAGCUCUUGAUCGAAGCCCCGGUAAACGGCGGCCGUAACUAUAACGGUCCUAAGGUAGCGAAAUUCCUUGUCGGGUAAGUUCCGACCUGCACGAAUGGCGUAAUGAUGGCCAGGCUGUCUCCACCCGAGACUCAGUGAAAUUGAACUCGCUGUGAAGAUGCAGUGUACCCGCGGCAAGACGGAAAGACCCCGUGAACCUUUACUAUAGCUUGACACUGAACAUUGAGCCUUGAUGUGUAGGAUAGGUGGGAGGCUUUGAAGCGUGGACGCCAGUCUGCGUGGAGCCAACCUUGAAAUACCACCCUUUAAUGUUUGAUGUUCUAACGUUGGCCCCUGACCGGGGUUGCGGACAGUGUCUGGUGGGUAGUUUGACUGGGGCGGUCUCCUCCCAAAGCGUAACGGAGGAGCACGAAGGUUAGCUAAUCCUGGUCGGACAUCAGGAGGUUAGUGCAAUGGCAUAAGCUAGCUUGACUGCGAGCGUGACGGCGCGAGCAGGUGCGAAAGCAGGUCAUAGUGAUCCGGUGGUUCUGAAUGGAAGGGCCAUCGCUCAACGGAUAAAAGGUACUCCGGGGAUAACAGGCUGAUACCGCCCAAGAGUUCAUAUCGACGGCGGUGUUUGGCACCUCGAUGUCGGCUCAUCACAUCCUGGGGCUGAAGUAGGUCCCAAGGGUAUGGCUGUUCGCCAUUUAAAGUGGUACGCGAGCUGGGUUUAGAACGUCGUGAGACAGUUCGGUCCCUAUCUGCCGUGGGCGCUGGAGAAUUGAGGGGGGCUGCUCCUAGUACGAGAGGACCGGAGUGGACGCAUCACUGGUGUUCGGGUUGUCAUGCCAAUGGCACUGCCCGGUAGCUAAAUGCGGAAGAGAUAAGUGCUGAAAGCAUCUAAGCACGAAACUUGCCCCGAGAUGAGUUCUCCCUGAGACUUUAAGUCUCCUGAAGGAACGUUAAAGACGAUGACGUUGAUAGGCCGGGUGUGUAAGCGCAGCGAUGCGUUGAGCUAACCGGUACUAAUGAACCGUGAGGCUUAACCUU